AUACCAAUCACAUUGGGCCACUUUAUUAUAAAAAUAGUUAUGACAAAUGCCAACAUACUUCAUUCUGAAGAUGAUACAACGAAAGUCCACAAACGCUGAUGAUGGAUUUAGGAAAUUUACUCUUCCAAACUGCAGGAAAUUCAUACCUUCUAACGCUGGAGAUAUACUACGGUGUCAGCUGUUCACUACCAGUAAACUAAGUUACUGCAAUGAAGUCGAGUGAUUUAUGCGUAUCGGCGGUGUUCUUAGCGUGAGCGGAGGACCGAACACGAACCAUCGAUUAUUUCCAGUCGGGCACCAAAUAGACAGUAGCCAUUUCUGUCUCUUAAAAACAAUUUAUGUUAAACAGUCUAGAAAUAAAAAAGCAUUGGAAAAUCUCAAAGAAUAAUGUUGUUCGAUGUGUGGAAAAGCAGAUCCCAAAUUGAGAUUAAUGGUGUCCUUAAAUUGUGAUUUUUACUGUGUUCGUGCACGUGCGAAUUCGUAUGUGUGUAAUGUGAAGUAUAAGAAAUGAGUGUGUGUGUG